rnacentral:rRNA from 1 species
UGGGGAAUAUUGCACAAUGGGCGCAAGCCUGAUGCAGCAACGCCGCGUGAACGAUGAAGGUCUUCGGAUCGUAAAGUUCUGUUGCAGGGGAAGAUAAUGACGGUACCCUGUGAGGAAGCCCCGGCUAACUACGUGCCAGCAGCCGCGGUAAUACGUAGGGGGCUAGCGUUAUCCGGAUUUACUGGGCGUAAAGGGUGCGUAGGUGGUCCUUCAAGUCGGUGGUUAAAGGCUACGGCUCAACCGUAGUAAGCCGCCGAAACUGGAGGACUUGAGUGCAGGAGAGGAAAGUGGAAUUCCCAGUGUAGCGGUGAAAUGCGUAGAUAUUGGGAGGAACACCGGUGGCGAAAGCGGCUUUUUGGCCUGCAACUGACACUGAGGCGCGAAAGCGUGGGGAGCAAACAGG